GCUGCUGUAGCCCAGAUGGUAGAGGCGUCACCAGUACAAGGCGACGGUCGCUGGUUCAAAUCCAGCCUGCUGUG